AGAUGCGAUCAUACAACAGAGUGCUAAGAGAGGGCUAGAAAAAUAGAUACAGAGAAAGCAGUGGCAGAAAACGCGGGUUCACAAUCGUCGAGAGUUUGAUCAGGUCCUAGGUGUUCUGCUUAUCACAGGAGAUCCAGGCAGGGCCAGACGGUCCAUCAGGAAACUAGGAGAAACUAGGAGAUUUCCCCUUGAGACGCUUUUGCUUGCGUUUGCUUGCGUUGGCUAAUGAAAUGCAGUAAGAAUUAUAUGGGAGCAGACUGUCCUUUGCUCUCUGGCAAUGUGUGCAGAGUGUGAAAGGCUGCUGGGAUUUGUGAUAUCAUUUCCCUGAAGCUAGAUGUCAGCAAAGGGAGUGUCAGAGAAAGAGCCCAACUAGGUAAUGUAAUAUU